rnacentral:rRNA from 1 species
UAAGGAAUAUUGGUCAAUGGGCGCAAGCCUGAACCAGCCAUGCCGCGUGCAGGAUGAAGCACCUAUGGUGUGUAAACUGCUUUUGUACGGGAAGAAACCACCCCUCGUGAGGGGUAUUGACGGUACCGUAAGAAUAAGGAUCGGCUAACUCCGUGCCAGCAGCCGCGGUAAUACGGAGGAUCCAAGCGUUAUCCGGAAUCAUUGGGUUUAAAGGGUCCGUAGGCGGGUCUGUAAGUCAGUGGUGAAAGCCCACCGCUCAACGAUGGAACGGCCAUUGAUACUGUUAGACUUGAAUUACAAGGAAGUAACUAGAAUAUGUAGUGUAGCGGUGAAAUGCUUAGAUAUUACAUGGAAUACCAAUUGCGAAGGCAGGUUACUACUUGUGGAUUGACGCUGAUGGACGAAAGCGUGGGGAGCUAACA